rnacentral:rRNA from 1 species
GAGUUUGAUCAUGGCUCAGAACGAACGCUGGCGGCAUGCCUAACACAUGCAAGUCGAACGAGACCUUCGGGUCUAGUGGCGCACGGGUGCGUAACGCGUGGGAACCUGCCUUGAGGUUCGUAAUAACUCAGAGAAAUUUGAGCUAAUACCGGAUAAUGUCUUCGGACCAAAGAUUUAUCGCCUUUAGAUGGGCCCGCGUUGGAUUAGCUAGUUGGUGGGGUAAAGGCCUACCAAGGCGACGAUCCAUAGCUGGUCUGAGAGGAUGAUCAGCCACACUGGGACUGAGACACGGCCCAGACUCCUACGGGAGGCAGCAGUGGGGAAUAUUGGACAAUGGGCGAAAGCCUGAUCCAGCAAUGCCGCGUGAGUGAUGAAGGCCUUAGGGUUGUAAAGCUCUUUUACCCGAGAUGAUAAUGACAGUAUCGGGAGAAUAAGCUCCGGCUAACUCCGUGCCAGCAGCCGCGGUAAUACGGAGG